rnacentral:rRNA from 1 species
GAUGAACGCUGGCGGUGUGCCUAAUACAUGCAAGUCGAACGCGUUGGCCCAAUUGAUUGACGGUGCUUGCACCUGAUUGAUUUUGGUUGCCAACGAGUGGCGGACGGGUGAGUAACACGUAGGUAACCUGCCCAGAAGCGGGGGACAACAUUUGGAAACAGAUGCUAAUACCGCAUAACAGCGUUGUUCGCAUGAACAACGCUUAAAAGAUGGCUUCUCGCUAUCACUUCUGGAUGGACCUGCGGUGCAUUAGCUUGUUGGUGGGGUAACGGCCUACCAAGGCGAUGAUGCAUAGCCGAGUUGAGAGACUGAUCGGCCACAAUGGGACUGAGACACGGCCCAUACUCCUACGGGAGGCAGCAGUAGGGAAUCUUCCACAAUGGGCGCAAGCCUGAUGGAGCAACACCGCGUGAGUGAAGAAGGGCUUCGGCUCGUAAAGCUCUGUUGUUAAAGAAGAACACGUAUGAGAGUAACUGUUCAUACGUUGACGGUAUUUAACCAGAAAGUCACGGCUAACUACGUGCCAGCAGCCGCGGUAAUACGUAGGUGGCAAGCGUUAUCCGGAUUUAUUGGGCGUAAAGAGAGUGCAGGCGGUUUUCUAAGUCUGAUGUGAAAGCCUUCGGCUUAACCGGAGAAGUGCAUCGGAAACUGGAUAACUUGAGUGCAGAAGAGGGUAGUGGAACUCCAUGUGUAGCGGUGGAAUGCGUAGAUAUAUGGAAGAACACCAGUGGCGAAGGCGGCUACCUGGUCUGCAACUGACGCUGAGACUCGAAAGCACGGGUAGCGAACAGG